AUUGAACGCUGGCGGCAUGCCUUACACAUGCAAGUCGAACGGUAACGGGCCUUCGGGUGCCGACGAGUGGCGAACGGGUGAGUAAUGUAUCGGAACGUACCUUUCAGUGGGGGAUAACGUAGCGAAAGUUACGCUAAUACCGCAUAUUCUGUGAGCAGGACAGCAGGGGAUCGCAAGACCUUGCGCUGAUUGAGCGGGCGAUAUCAGAUUAGCGAGUUGGUGAGGUAAAGGCUCACCAAGGCGACGAUCUGUAGCGGGUCUGAGAGGAUGAUCCGCCACACUGGAACUGAGACACGGUCCAGACUCCUACGGGAGGCAGCAGUGGGGAAUUUUGGACAAUGGGGGCAACCCUGAUCCAGCCAUGCCGCGUGAGUGAAGAAGGCCUUCGGGUUGUAAAGCUCUUUCGGCCGGGAAGAAAUCGUAUCAGCUAAUACCUGGUGCGGAUGACGGUACCGGCAUAAGAAGCACCGGCUAACUACGUGCCAGCCGCCGCAGUAAAAC
rnacentral:rRNA from 1 species